rnacentral:tRNA from 1 species
AGGCAACUAGUUUAAUUAAAACUCUUGAUUUCGGCUCAAGCACUUGUGGUUUAAACCCGCAGUCGUCUA